CUAGAUGGCUAAAGUCCAGUAGCCGAAAGCAUCACUAGCUUAUGCUCUGACCCGAGUAGCAUGGGGCACGUGGAAUCCCGUGUGAAUCAGAAAGGACCACCUUGCAAGGCUAAAUACUCCUGGGUGACCGAUAGCGAAGUAGUACCGUGAGGGAAAGGUGAAAAGAACCCCCAGUGGGUAGUGAAAUAGAACGUGAAACCGUGCUGAGCUCCCAAGCAGUGGGAGGGGAAAGUGAUCUCUGACC
rnacentral:ncRNA from 1 species